UACGGAGGGUGCGAGCGUUGUCCGGAAUCACUGGGCGUAAAGGGCGCGUAGGCGGCGCGACAAGGCGGCGGUGAAAGUCCGGGGCUCAACCCCGGAUCGGCCGUGGCGACUGUCGCGCUCGAGCACAGUAGAGGCGGGUGGAAUUCCGGGUGUAGCGGUGGAAUGCGUAGAGAUCCGGAAGAACACCGGUGGCGAAGGCGGCCCGCUGGGCUGUGGCUGACGCUGAGGCGCGAAAGCUAGGGUAGCAAACGGG
rnacentral:rRNA from 1 species